AGCAAACCGACGCUUCACCUCCUUACCUGGUCCCCUUGUCAGCUAGCUGCCUUCUGACCCUGGAGGGAGGAAUUCUGGCUCCUAUUCCAUAGAUGAGGAAAUUGAGGCUCAGAGAAGAUUCACAGCUCCUGUCCUCCAAGGGAUGGCAGCAGGGAUCAUGGUGAUGUUCUGGGAGUGGGUGUGGCUGUUCCCAGGGAAUGGGGAUCCUCCCAUCCCAGCAAAGGGGAGAUACCAGCAAAGGACUAUCUAGCUGCACUCAGACCUCCUGGAUUCAAAUCCUAGACUUAGGCCCUCUGUGCCUCAGUUUCCCCAACUGUCAACUGGAGAUAAUAGCAAGGCCAACCUCAUCUGGUUAUUGUGAGGAUUAAAUCCGUCACCUAAUGAGAAGCUUCCUGAAGUAUUUUCACAGAUGCUUGCAAAGCUCCUAUGGCCAGGUGGAAAUGAGGACAAGGACACUGAGAGACAGGAAGAAGGAGACCAAGACAGAGGAAGCAUGCGGUGGCAGAACAGAGAGAAAUAAGCGGAUAUGAAGAGACACAGGGAGAGUGACAGAGACAGAGACAGCAGAAACCAAAACUCAGAUAGGCCUGACUCCCACAUCGCCUUCCACAACUACAGACGGGGUUUCACUGUGUUAGCCAGAGUGGUCUCCAUCUCCUGACCUUGUGAUCCCCAUUGAUGCAGCAAUUCCACUUCUAGGAUGUACUCUAUGGAUAUACUUGCACAAGGACACAGAAAGCUUUCCACCAAACUCUCUGUGGCAAUUUGUCAUGGCAAAAGCCUGCAAGCCACCAUCACUAAGGAAAUGGCUCUUUAAAUCCUGCUCCGUGUCCACCAUGGAAUGCCACACAGCCUUGAAAAAGGAGGGUGCUCUCUAUGCACUGAUAUCAAGAUUUACUGUUGCUGAAAAUCACAAGGCACACAACUAGUGUGUAGAGUCCUCUGAUAUCUGUAAGAAAACAAAGAAAAUACAUGUUUUUGCCCACAUGUUCACAGAACCCUUCUGAAAAGCAACACAAAAGACUGUCACAGUGAGGGGUUGAGAGGGUGAGGACAAACACAGGAGGGAGACUGACUUUUCACUGCAAGCUUGUUGUACCUUGGGUAUUUGGUGCCACAUGGUAUUACCUAUGGACAAAAUGAGUUAAAGUUAAAGUUUAUACAUGAUGCACAAGUGUUCCAUUUGUGGAUAUAGGAAAAUGCUUGUGAUAAAUUAGUGAGAGAAAAGAAGAUGGCCUAAUUUAUAUAAUGCAUGAUUCACAUAUAUCUUUGAGCUAUCUCUAUAAGUAUAUCCCACAUAUAUCUGUAAGUAUAGAGAGAAACGUUUAAAAAUACUAUCAG